rnacentral:rRNA from 1 species
UACAGAGGUGCCAAGCGUUAGGCGGAGUCACUGGGCUUAAAGCGCGCGUAGGCGGAUGUUUAAGUGUCUUGUGAAAUCCCACGGCUCAACCGUGGAACUGCUGGGCAUACUGGACAUCUCGAGGCACUCAGGGGCGAGCGGAACAAGUGGUGGAGCGGUGAAAUGCGUAGAUAUCACUUGGAACGCCAAUGGUGAAGACAGCUCGCUGGGGGUGUCCUGACGCUGAGGCGCGAAAGCCAGGGGAGCGAACGGG